AGUAACACGUGGGCAAUCUGCCCUGCACUCUGGGACAAGCCCUGGAAACGGGGUCUAAUACCGGAUACUGACCUUCACAGGCAUCUGUGAUGGUCGAAAGCUCCGGCGGUGCAGGAUGAGCCCGCGGCCUAUCAGCUUGUUGGUGAGGUAGUGGCUCACCAAGGCGACGACGGGUAGCCGGCCUGAGAGGGCGACCGGCCACACUGGGACUGAGACACGGCCCAGACUCCUACGGGAGGCAGCAGUGGGGAAUAUUGCACAAUGGGCGAAAGCCUGAUGCAGCGACGCCGCGUGAGGGAUGACGGCCUUCGGGUUGUAAACCUCUUUCAGCAGGGAAGAAGCGAAAGUGACGGUACCUGCAGAAGAAGCGCCGGCUAACUACGUGCCAGCAGCCGCGGUAAUACGUAGGGCGCGAGCGUUGUCCGGAAUUAUUGGGCGUAAAGAGCUCGUAGGCGGCUUGUCACGUCGGUUGUGAAAGCCCGGGGCUUAACCCCGGGUCUGCAGUCGAUACGGGCAGGCUAGAGUUCGGUAGGGGAGAUCGGAAUUCCUGGUGUAGCGGUGAAAUGCGCAGAUAUCAGGAGGAACACCGGUGGCGAAGGCGGAUCUCUGGGCCGAUACUGACGCUGAGGAGCGAAAGCGUGGGGAGCGAACAGGAUUAGAUACCCUGGUAGUCCACGCCGUAAACGGUGGGCACUAGGUGUGGGCAACAUUCCACGUUGUCC
rnacentral:rRNA from 1 species